UACGUAGGGAGCAAGCGUUGUCCGGAAUCAUUGGGCGUAAAGCGCGCGUAGGUGGCUUCGUAAGUCCGUUGUGAAAGUCAAAGGCUCAACCUUUGAAAGCCGAUGGAUACUGCGGAGCUAGAGUACGGAAGAGGCGAGUGGAAUUCCUGGUGUAGCGGGUGGAAUGCGCAGAUAUCAGGAGGAACACCAAUAGCGAAGGCAGCUCGCUGGGACGUUACUGACACUGAGGCGCGAAAGCGUGGGGAGCGAACAGG
rnacentral:rRNA from 1 species